rnacentral:lncRNA from 1 species
GAAUGUGUUAAUUUUUCCUUUUCUGCUUAGAGUUGAAAAGAGUUCUGAUGAUAAAGUGUAUUUUAAUAUCUUUUUACUUUCUGUUACAGGACUGGCUGGCUUUUCCUGUGCUGAUUAAAAAAACACUUCAAGAUGUCAUCUAGAAUUUUGAUUACAGAAUAUUAUAGACUUCAAAUUUUGAAGUUGAGCAGUGAAGUUAUUCAGAACUUUUGGGGAAUUUUUAGCAUCUUCAACAUGGAAUUGUAUGCAAUAAUCAGAGCUGAAGAACAAGUUGAAGUAAGUGUUGCACUGUUUGACUUGGGUGAUGUUCUGUAGACUAAGUUGAUCACUGUGUGGUCUGUCUUCAGUACUGUUCCACUGCAGUUUAAAUUGAGCUCUUUGUUUCUCUCAUUUUCUGGAGGAAAAGUAAAACUAGUAGGCUGUGUUGUUGUUGUCACUUGGAUGUAUUUCAGUUGAUAAAAUUAAACAUUUGUGUUGAAAAAUUUAAUUCCCUGUAACACUAACCUUAGCUUGUGAAUUGAUACCUAUGCAAGGAAGAUUGGUAUUCACAGCUCUUGGAAUCAGCAGGUCAAAUAGUUCUUACAGUCCAGUGGAAAAGUGACUACAGCAAGAAAACCAGACCUCAGCCUGUUGGAAAUACCACAGAGAUGUGGAUUUAAAUUGAGCACCUCCUGAAUUUACAUCAAGGGACAGAAUGACCCAAGUGCUACUCACUUGAGUCACCAGGGACAAAGGAAAUGGAUUUAAUUAUGAUUUAGGCUCAGCUCAACCAGAUAUUUUGCAAAGCUUUGUAAUAAAUUGGUGGUGUUUCUUCCA